rnacentral:rRNA from 1 species
GUAAGGAAUAUUGGUCAAUGGACGCAAGUCUGAACCAGCCAUGCCGCGUGGAGGAUGAAGGUCCUCUGGAUUGUAAACUUCUUUUAUCUGGGACGAAACACUUCUUUUCUAAGAGGCCUGACGGUACCAGAUGAAUAAGCACCGGCUAACUCCGUGCCAGCAGCCGCGGUAAUACGGAGGGUGCAAGCGUUAUCCGGAUUCACUGGGUUUAAAGGGUGCGUAGGUGGGUAUGUAAGUCAGUGGUGAAAUCCCCGAGCUUAACUUGGGAACUGCCAUUGAUACUCUAUAUCUUGAAUACCGUAGAGGUAAGCGGAAUAUGUCAUGUAGCGGUGAAAUGCUUAGAUAUGACAUGGAACACCAAUUGCGAAGGCAGCUUACUAUGCGGUGAUUGACACUGAGGCACGAAAGCGUGGGUAGCAAACA